GUGGUUGGCGGUGGUUGGAGGUGGUCGGAGGUGGUCGGAGGUGGACGAGGAGGAGGACGAGGAAGAUGAGGAGAACGAGGAUUUCUGCAUGGUAUAACCCAAGGUGGUUAUCGAUGGUUACUGGAGGUGGUUGGCGGUGGCUGGAGAUGUUCGGAGGUGGACGAGGAGGAGAACGAGGAAGACGAGGAAACCAAGGUCGACGAGGAUGAUGAGGAUUUGUGCACUGUAUAACCCGAGGUGGUUGGCGGUGGUUGGCG